rnacentral:rRNA from 1 species
GAUAAGURAUGUGAAUUGCAGAAUUCAGUGAAUCAUCGAAUCUUUGAACGCACCUUGCGCCCCUUGGUAUUCCGAGGGGCACACCUGUUUGAGUGUCGUG